UACGGAGGGGGCUAGCGUUGUUCGGAAUUACUGGGCGUAAAGCGCGCGUAGGCGGAUCUGCAAGUCGGGGGUGAAAUCCCGAGGCUCAACCUCGGAACUGCCUUCGAUACUGCGGGUCUCGAGUCCGGGAGAGGUGAGUGGAAUUCCUAGUGUAGAGGUGAAAUUCGUAGAUAUUAGGAAGAACACCAGUGGGCGAAGGCGGCUCACUGGCCCCGGGUACUGACGCUGAGG
rnacentral:rRNA from 1 species